rnacentral:rRNA from 1 species
GAUGAACGCUGGCGGCGUGCCUAAUACAUGCAAGUCGAGCGAACGGACGAGAAGCUUGCUUCUCUGAUGUUAGCGGCGGACGGGUGAGUAACACGUGGAUAACCUACCUAUAAGACUGGGAUAACUUCGGGAAACCGGAGCUAAUACCGGAUAAUAUUUUGAACCGCAUGGUUCAAAAGUGAAAGACGGUCUUGCUGUCACUUAUAGAUGGAUCCGCGCUGCAUUAGCUAGUUGGUACGGUAACGGCUUACCAAGGCAACGAUGCAUAGCCGACCUGAGAGGGUGAUCGGCCACACUGGAACUGAGACACGGUCCAGACUCCUACGGGAGGCAGCAGUAGGGAAUCUUCCGCAAUGGGCGAGAGCCUGACGGAGCAACGCCGCGUGAGUGAUGAAGGUCUUCGGAUCGUAAAACUCUGUUAUUAGGGAAGAACAUAUGUGUAAGUAACUGUGCACAUCUUGACGGUACCUAAUCAGAAAGCCACGGCUAACUACGUG